rnacentral:rRNA from 1 species
CCUACGGGAGGCAGCAGUGGGGAAUAUUGCGCAAUGGGCGAAAGCCUGACGCAGCGACGCCGCGUGAGGGAUGAAGGUCUUCGGAUCGUAAACCUCUGUCAGCAGGGAAGAACGGUCACUGUGCUAAUCAGCAGUGAAUUGACGGUACCUGCAAAGGAAGCACCGGCUAACUCCGUGCCAGCAGCCGCGGUAAUACGGAGGGUGCGAGCGUUAAUCGGAAUUACUGGGCGUAAAGCGCUCGUAGGCGGUAUGUCAAGUCAAGGGUGAAAUCCCCGCGCUCAACGGGGGAACUGCCUUUGAAACUGGCAAACUGGAGUGUGGGAGAGGAGAGUGGAAUUCCAGGUGUAGGAGUGAAAUCCGUAGAGAUCUGGAGGAACAUCAGAGGCGAAGGCGACUAUCUGGAACAUAACUGACGCUGAGGAGCGAAAGCGUGGGUAGCAAACAGGAUUAGAUACCCCAGUAGUC